rnacentral:rRNA from 1 species
UGCAGUCGAGCACUCUCUUCGGAGGGAGCGGCGGACGGGUGAGUAACGCGUGGGAACGUGCCCUUCUCUAUGGAAUAGCCACUGGAAACGGUGAGUAAUACCAUAUACGCCCUUCGGGGGAAAGAUUUAUCGGAGAAGGAUCGGCCCGCGUUAGAUUAGGUAGUUGGUGGGGUAAUGGCCUACCAAGCCUACGAUCUAUAGCUGGUUUUAGAGGAUGAUCAGCCACACUGGGACUGAGACACGGCCCAGACUCCUACGGGAGGCAGCAGUGGGGAAUCUUAGACAAUGGGCGCAAGCCUGAUCUAGCCAUGCCGCGUGAGUGAUGAAGGCCUUAGGGUCGCAAAGCUCUUUCGCCAGAGAUGAUAAUGACAGUAUCUGGUAAAGAAACCCCGGCUAACUCCGUGCCAGCAGCCGCGGUAAUACGGAGGGGGUUAGCGUUGUUCGGAAUUACUGGGCGUAAAGCGCACGUAGGCGGAUUAGAAAGUUGGGGGUGAAAUCCCGGGGCUCAACCUCGGAACGGCCUCCAAAACUCCUAGUCUAGAGUUCGAGAGAGGUGAGUGGAAUUCCAAGUGUAGAGGUGAAAUUCGUAGAUAUUUGGAGGAACACCAGUGGCGAAGGCGGCUCACUGGCUCGAUACUGACGCUGAGGUG